GUGUUAUACCAAGAUCCAGCCCAUUACCAGAUAUUACAUCGCAAUAUUUCAGACAUCGUAAGUAAUAAGAAAAUUAAUAAAUUCUGCUUGCCUUUCUCACGUUUUAUUUAGGUACUUUCGAAGAGUAAUUUCCCACUAGUUUUAGUGCGGGUGCAUUUGAAAGGAGAUUUGAACUGACCAAUAAUAUUCUGUGGCAACCAUCUUAGCUUAGCUUGUUUCUUUCUUGAUAUAUUUCACAACAUAUAAUAUGCAAAUUACCUGCAAUAUGGCAUGAAAUUACAUAAUACCUUUCUGCAUGAAGAAACUUUAUAACUCUUAUGGAUGAUUGAUUCAAGUUUUUCGACGUACUGUACAGCAUUUUGACUAUGUGGGCAUAACACAGAUAUGAGCAGUUUCAUGACUUCGAUACAAGAUUUAUGAUGCAAUGUUACAUGCGUAGUGAAAAUAAUUUGCAUUCUAGAAAUACAUGUAUGCAGCAACGUCGCGCCUUUCUUAACAGGUAAAAUAUAGAAAUUCCACGCGAAGCAUUUGACGAUUAAAACAACAGUGGUUGCCAUGGUAACAUGAAAAUGAUAUUUUGGGAAAAUAUUAGCCUAAUUACGAGAAAAUUUUUAAAUAUUGUUACUGCUUUAAUUCAAACUUUAGCUACAACACAGUCUAUUAAGAUAUGAUGGUCUCGAAGACCGAGAAACUUCAAAGCCACAAAAUAGAAGACCCUUGAUUCAUGUAGAACUAUUACCUCACCAUGCACAAAUCCUUUGUCUCCACUUCAUUUAUGGCUGCACGUUUCAUCUCAGCUAUCCCUAUUGUACGAUUACUUAAUUGUACGAAAAUACAAUGAGGUCAAUCACUGUGACCGUGCAUCGAAUUAACAUAUACUCAGACAAAAACAUAUAUGACAAACACUUCUGUUUAGUUUUCAGACAAUCAUAUCUUGAUAGACUAUGGCUACAAAAAUAUGCUGAUAAUAAGUUUCAUGCUGCUUUUUCUGACUACUGGAAUUUGCCUGAAAUAAAAUUAUAUUGUGAAGUACAUAUCCUCAAUUAUUAAAUAUUCUUCAAGCGUAAGAAGUAGUUGGAUAACCAACAAUUAAUGUCAUACCAAUAUUUUCCAUUGUAUAGAGUUAAGUCAAAAGAGAGGUCAUUCAUUAUCGUGUGGAUAGUGAUCAACAAUAAAUCAUUUUUGCACUCGUUGUCGGUGUUGACUUGAACGAUUUCCAUGAGGAGAGACACGUUUCUUUAUUGCACUUACUUAGCCUACUAAAGCCGUACGUGUCAGCGGCAUACUAUCUAUCUUGCCUGUAACCUUCCAGAUUAAGUGGAUUACUAAACUAUCAGUUAGUUCCGUGUUAGAACUUUGAAAUAACGUUAAACGUAAACAUUAACGUAAACAUUAUUACAUUAUUAUGAUUGUUACAUUGUUACAUUGUUACAUUAUUAC